rnacentral:rRNA from 1 species
GUGGGGAAUCUUCCGCAAUGGGCGCAAGCCUGACGGAGCAACGCCGCGUGAAUGAAGAAGGCCUUCGGGUCGUAAAGUUCUGUCUUUAGAGAAGAAGUCUCUCUAUGUGAAUAAUGUAGAGAGGUGACGGUACCUAAGGAGGAAGCUCCGGCUAACUACGUGCCAGCAGCCGCGGUAAUACGUAGGGAGCAAGCGUUGUCCGGAAUUACUGGGCGUAAAGGGCGCGUAGGCGGAUAAUUAAGUCAGGUGUGAAAACUCUGGGCUCAACCUGGAGAUUGCACUUGAAACUGGUUAUCUUGAGGGCAGGAGAGGAAAGUGGAAUUCCUAGUGUAGCGGUGAAAUGCGUAGAUAUUAGGAGGAACACCAGUGGCGAAGGCGACUUUCUGGACUGCACCUGACGCUGAGGCGCGAAAGCGUGGGGAGCGAACGGGAUUAGAAACCCGUGUAGUCC